rnacentral:lncRNA from 1 species
GCGUAUCAAAGAAUGCUUGUAAAAAAACUAUACGUGAAGCAUAUUUAAAAAAAAGUAAAAAUAUAUCACCCAGAUUUAAAUAAAAGUCCAGAAGCUACAUCAAAAUUUAAACAACUUCAAGAAGCUUAUCAAGCUUUGUAUAAUAAUGAUUGUUCACAAAAAACAUACCAAAGUGAAAAUACAUCUAGUAGAAGUUACUAUUCGAAAAAUACACAGAACAAUCAGACUUAUGACCAGUCUGAUGAUUUUAACGAUUUUCAUCGAGCUUUUUAUGAAGAAGUUCGUAGAAUGAGAGAAAAUGAAAAGAAAGAACAAUAUAGAAGAUACGCAAAUAAUACGAACAGCUACACAUUCAAUGAUUUUGUCCAUAAAUAUGCUAGGGAAUACUUUUAUAUAAAUUUAAUUUUUAAAUUAUUUCCCCUGUUUGUAGUUCCUUUUUUAUUUUUUUUUGUUGUAUAUAAGCAUUACAUGUAAUAAAAAAAAAAAAUAUAUAUACAUAUAUAUAUAUAUAUGCACAAUACGUAUAUAAAUUUUUAUGAGUAUGUUAUAUAUUUGAGUGCUCCUUUUUAUAUACUUUUUUUUUUUUUUUUUACUAUAUUAUGAUAUAUUGUAUAUAUAAAAAAAAUGAUAUUAUUUAUUUUAUCCAAUGGUGCACAUCAUUUUACACUAAAUUUUUUUUUUUUUUAGUUUGAAAGCACACUUGAGAGAAAAACCUGUACUCCUGUAUGAUUCUUAUGGUAA